rnacentral:rRNA from 1 species
CAAAAUGGGAGGUAAAUUUCUCCUAAGGCUAAAUACAGGCGAGAGACCGAUAGCGAACAAGUACCGUGAGGGAAAGAUGAAAAGAAUUUUGAAAAGAAAGUUAAACAGUACGUGAAAUUGUUGAAAGGGAAGCGAUUGAAGCCAGUCGUACCGACGGAAAAUCAACUUCUCGAGUGCAUACCGUGGGUGACGUUGAGCUUUACGGCCUUCGUUGCUUGUGUUGUUGGUGCUUUUGGGGUGUACUUUUCUGUAUGGUAGGUCAUCAUCGAUUUUGAUCGUCAUAAAAUGAUCGGGGGAAUGUAGCUUCGGUCUCGUAUCGGAGUGUUAUAGACCUUGGUAGAUGUGGCGAUUGGGAUCGAGGAUUGCAACGAAUACCCUUUUGGGCUAUCCGUCUGUCCUCUGAAAGUCGCUCGGGAGUUGAAAGCGUGCUUAUGACUAUUCGAGUUGGCGGUCAAUAGGUUAGAACGUGAUUAUA